GAGUAACACGUGAGUAACCUGCCCUUGACUCUGGGAUAAGCCCGGGAAGCUGGGUCUAAUACCGGAUAGGAGCGCCAGUCGCAUGACCGGGUGCUGGAAAGAUUUUUCGGUCAUGGAUGGACUCGCGGCCUAUCAGCUUGUUGGUGAGGUAACGGCUCACCAAGGCGACGACGGGUAGCCGGCUUGAGAGGGUGACCGGCCACACUGGGAUGUGAGACACGGCCCAGACUCCUACGGGAGGCAGCAGUGGGGAAUAUUGCACAAUGGGCGGAAGCCUGAUGCAGCGACGCCGCGUGAGGGAUGACGGCCUUCGGGUUGUAAACCUCUUUCAGUA
rnacentral:rRNA from 1 species